rnacentral:rRNA from 1 species
CCUACGGGCGGCAGCAGUGGGGAAUAUUGCACAAUGGGCGCAAGCCUGAUGCAGCCAUGCCGCGUGUGUGAAGAAGGCCUUCGGGUUGUAAAGCACUUUCAGCGGGGAGGAAGGCGGUGAGGUUAAUAACCUCAUCGAUUGACGUUACCCGCAGAAGAAGCACCGGCUAACUCCGUGCCAGCAGCCGCGGUAAUACGGAGGGUGCAAGCGUUAAUCGGAAUUACUGGGCGUAAAGCGCACGCAGGCGGUCUGUCAAGUCGGAUGUGAAAUCCCCGGGCUCAACCUGGGAACUGCAUUCGAAACUGGCAGGCUAGAGUCUUGUAGAGGGGGGUAGGAUUCCAGGUGUAGCGGUGAAAUGCGUAGAGAUCUGGAGGAAUACCGGUGGCGAAGGCGGCCCCCUGGACAAAGACUGACGCUCAGGUGCGAAAGCGUGGGGAGCAAACAGGAUUAGAUACCCGGGUAGUC